rnacentral:tRNA from 1 species
GGCGCUAUAGCUCAGUUGGUUAGAGCGAGGGACUCAUAAGCCCUAGGUCACUGGUUCAAAUCCAGUUGGCGCCACCA